GAUUUCAACUAAAAAAGUCAUCAAUAACAAAGUGGUAUAACUCAUCAAGAUCUAUAACUUUUAUUUGGGUCAUUUCUUCACCCGACAAAGCGAAUUAUAACAUUGUUCACAAAAUGUACAUAUCUUUGAUAUAGUUUAUAAACUAUAAGAGAGAGAUGUAAAUUUUGUAAAUAAUGUUACUAUUACUUUGUCGGAUGAAGAAAUGACCAAAAUAAAAGUUAUAGAUAUUGAUGAUUUAUACAACUUUGUUAUUGAUGACUUUUUCAGUUGAAAUC
rnacentral:pre_miRNA from 1 species